GAUGAACGCUAGCGAUAGGCUUAACACAUGCAAGUCGAGGGGCAGCAUGGUCUUAGCUUGCUAAGACUGAUGGCGACCGGCGCACGGGUGCGUAACGCGUAUGCAACUUGCCUCACAGAGGGGGAUAACCCGUCGAAAGACGGACUAAUACCGCGUACACUUAUCGGAGGGCAUCCUUUGGUAAGGAAAUGAAAUUCGCUGUGAGAUAGGCAUGCGUCCCAUUAGCUCGUUGGUGAGGUAACGGCUCACCAAGGCAACGAUGGGUAGGGGAACUGAGAGGUUGAACCCCCACACUGGUACUGAGACACGGACCAGACUCCUACGGGAGGCAGCAGUGAGGAAUAUUGGUCAAUGGGCGAGAGCCUGAACCAUGCCAUAGUCGCGUGAAUGGAUGACUGUCUUAUGGAUUGUAAACUUCUUUUGUAGGGGAAUAAAGACUAGUACGUGUACUGGA
rnacentral:rRNA from 1 species